rnacentral:rRNA from 1 species
GACGAACGCUGGCGGCGUGCUUAACACAUGCAAGUCGAACGGUAAGGCCCUUCGGGGUACACGAGUGGCGAACGGGUGAGUAACACGUGGGUGAUCUGCCCUGCACUUCGGGAUAAGCCUGGGAAACUGGGUCUAAUACCGGAUAGGACCACUGCCUGCAUGGGUGGUGGUGGAAAGCUUUUGCGGUGUGGGAUGGGCCCGCGGCCUAUCAGCUUGUUGGUGGGGUGAUGGCCUACCAAGGCGACGACGGGUAGCCGGCCUGAGAGGGUGACCGGCCACACUGGGACUGAGAUACGGCUCAGACUCCUACGGGAGGCAGCAGUGGGGAAUAUUGCACAAUGGGCGCAAGCCUGAUGCAGCGACGCCGCGUGAGGGAUGACGGCCUUCGGGUUGUAAACCUCUUUCAGCACCGACGAAGCGCAAGUGACGGUAGGUGCAGAGGAAGGACCGGCCAACUACGUGCCAGCAGCCGCCGUAA